rnacentral:rRNA from 1 species
GAUGAACGCUGGUGGCGUGCUUAACACAUGCAAGUCGAACGGUGAAGGCGGAGCUUGCUCUGCUGGAUCAGUGGCGAACGGGUGAGUAACACGUGAGCAAUCUGCCCCUGACUCUGGGAUAAGCGCUGGAAACGGCGUCUAAUACUGGAUACGAGCUGCGAAGGCAUCUUCAGCAGCUGGAAAGAACUUCGGUCAGGGAUGAGCUCGCGGCCUAUCAGCUUGUUGGUGAGGUAACGGCUCACCAAGGCGUCGACGGGUAGCCGGCCUGAGAGGGUGACCGGCCACACUGGGACUGAGACACGGCCCAGACUCCUACGGGAGGCAGCAGUGGGGAAUAUUGCACAAUGGGCGAAAGCCUGAUGCAGCAACGCCGCGUGAGGGACGACGGCCUUCGGGUUGUAAACCUCUUUUAGCAGGGAAGAAGCGAAAGUGACGGUACCUGCAGAAAAAGCGCCGGCUAACUACGUG